rnacentral:rRNA from 1 species
UACGAAUGGGGCUAGCGUUGUUCGGAAUUACUGGGCGUAAAGCGCACGUAGGCGGAUUAGUAAGUCAGGGGUGAAAUCCCGGGGCUCAACCUCGGAACUGCCCUUGAUACUGCUGAUCUCGAGUCCGGAAGAGGUGAGUGGAAUUCCUAGUGUAGAGGUGAAAUUCGUAGAUAUUAGGAAGAACACCAGUGGCGAAGGCGGCUCGCUGGUCCGGUACUGACGCUGAGGUGCGAAAGCGUGGGGAGAAAACAGG